rnacentral:rRNA from 1 species
GAGUUUGAUCCUGGCUCAGAAUGAACGUNGGCGGCGUGGAUUAGGCAUGCAAGUCGAACGAGAACCAAAGUAGCUUGCUACUGAGGGGACAGUGGCGAAAGGGAGAGUAACGCGUAGAUCACGUACCUCUAGACCCGGGAUAGCGUCGGGAAACUGGCGGUAAUACCGGAUAAUGUCUCCGGACCAAAGGUGUGAUUCCGUCUAGAGAGCGGUCUGCGUCCUAUUAGGUAGUUGGUGGGGUAAGAGCCUACCAAGCCGAAGAUGGGUACCGGGUGUGAGAGCAUGGCCCGGCUCACUGGGACUGAGACACUGCCCAGACACCUACGGGUGGCUGCAGUCGAGAAUCUUCCGCAAUGGACGCAAGUCUGACGGAGCGACGCCGCGUGCGGGACGAAGGCCUUCGGGUUGUAAACCGCUGUCAGUUGGGAGGAAAUGGUAUGAGGCUAUCCUCAUACUUUGACCGAUCUUCAGAGGAAGCGCAGGCUAAGUUCGUGCCAGCAGCCGCGGUAACACGAACUGCGCAAACGUUAUUCGGAAUCACUGGGCUUAAAGAGUUCGUAGGCGGUCUAGUAGGUGAGGUGUGAAAUCCCUCGGCUCAACCGAGGAACUGCGCUUCAAACCACUAGACUUGAGGGAGGCAGAGGUGAGUGGAACUGAUGGUGGAGCGGUGAAAUGCGUUGAUAUCAUCAGGAACACCAGUGGCGAAGGCGACUCACUGGGCCUCUUCUGACGCUGAGGAACGAAAGCUAGGGGAGCGAACGGGAUUAGAUACCCUGGUAGUC